rnacentral:rRNA from 1 species
CAGUCGCCGCGGGAAUACGAAGGGGGCUAGCGUUGCUCGGAAUUACUGGGCGUAAAGGGAGCGUAGGCGGGUCGUUUAGUCAGAGGUGAAAUCCCGGGGCUCAACCUCGGAGCUGCCUUUGAUACUGGCGACCUUGAGUAUGGGAGAGGAGAGUGGAACUCCGAGUGUAGAGGUGAAAUUCGUAGAUAUUCGGAAGAACACCAGUGGCGAAGGCGACUCUCUGGUCUGUAACUGACGCUGAGGAGCGAAAGCGUGGGGAGCGAACAGGACUAGAUACCCCGGUAGUCCCUGUCUCUUAUAC